rnacentral:rRNA from 1 species
UACGGGGGGGGCAAGCGUUGUUCGGAAUUACUGGGCGUAAAGGGCUCGUAGGCGGCCAACUAAGUCAGACGUGAAAUCCCUCGGCUUAACCGGGGAACUGCGUCUGAUACUGGAUGGCUCGAGAUUGGGAGAGGGAUGCGGAAUUCCAGGUGUAGAGGUGAAAUUCGUAGAUAUUGGGAAGAACACCGGUGGCGAAGGCGGCGACCUGGUCCUUGACUGACGCUGAGGCGCGAAAGCGUGGGGAGCAAACAGG